rnacentral:rRNA from 1 species
CUCAUAGCGUAUAUUUAAGUUGUUGCAGUUAAAAAGCUCGUAGUCGGAUUUUGGCUGAGAACGGUCGGUCCGCCGUUAGGUGUGCACUGACUGGUCUCAGCUUCCUGGUGAGGAGGUGUGCUUCAUCGCCACUUAGUCACCGUGGUUACUUUGAAAAAAUUAGAGUGUUCAAAGCGGGCUUACGCUUGAAUAUAUUAGCAUGGAAUAACACCAUAGGACUCCUGUCCUAUUUCGUUGGUCUCGGGACGGGAGUAAUGAUUAAGAGGAACAGUUGGGGGCAUUCGUAUUUCAUUGUCAGAGGUGAAAUUCUUGGAUUUAUGAAAGACGAACUUCUGCGAAAGCAUUUGCCAAGGAUGUUUUCAUUGAUCAAGAACGAAAGUUGGGGGCUCAAAGAUGAUUAGAUACCAUCCUAGUCUCAACCAUAAACGAUGCCGACUAGGGAUUGGCGGAUGUUAAUUGAUGACUUCGCCAGCACCUUAUGAGAAAUCAAAGUUUUUGGGUUCCGGGGGGAGUAUGGUCGCAAGGCUGAAACUUAAAGGAAUUGACGGAAGGGCACCACCAGGCGUGGAGCCUGCGGCUUAAUUUGACUCAACACGGGGAAACUUACCAGGUCCAGACAUAGUAAGGAUUGACAGAUUGAGAGCUCUUUCUUGAUUCUAUGGGUGGUGGUGCAUGGCCGUUCU